UACGUAGGGGGCUAGCGUUGUCCGGAAUCAUUGGGCGUAAAGAGCGUGUAGGCGGCCAGAUAAGUCCGCUGUGAAAUCUCGAGGCUCAACUUCGAGCUGUCGGUGGAAACUAUCUGGCUAGAGUCCGGAAGAGGAGAAUGGAAUUCCUGGUGUAGCGGUGAAAUGCGCAGAUAUCAGGAAGAACACCCGUGGCGAAGGCGGCUUUCUGGGACGGUACUGACGCUGAGACGCGAAAGCGUGGGGAGCGAACAGG
rnacentral:rRNA from 1 species